rnacentral:rRNA from 1 species
GACGAACGCUGGCGGCGUGCCUAAUACAUGCAAGUCGAACGCAGUGGGGACGGGUGAGUAACACGUGGGUAACCUCCCAUCAGAGGGGAUAACACUUGGAAACAGGUGCUAAACCGAUACUGAUGGAUGGACCCGCGGUGCAUUAGCAAGUUGGUGAGGUAACGGCUCACCAAGGACACGAGGCAUAGCCGACAGGAAAGAGUGAUCGGACAAGCAGGGACGAAUACAGGGCCGAGACUCCUACGGGAGGCAGCAGUAGGGAAUCUUCGGCAAUGGACGAAAGUCGGCCCGAGGAACGCCGCGUGAGUGAAGAAGGUUUUCGGAUCGUAAAACUCUGUUGUUAGAGAAGCGGUAUCUAACCAGAAAGCCACGGCGAACUACGUGCCAGCAGCCGCGGUAAUUC